AUUGAACGCUGGCGGCAGGCCUAACACAUGCAAGUCGAACGGCAGCACAGAAGAGCUUGCUCUUUGGGUGGCGAGUGGCGGACGGGUGAGUAAUGUCUGGGAAGCUGCCCGAUGGAGGGGGAUAACUAUUGGAAACGGUAGCUAAUACCGCAUAACGUCGCAAGACCAAAGUGGGGGACCUUCGGGCCUCACACCAUCGGAUGUGCCCAGAUGGGAUUAGCUAGUAGGUGGGGUAAUGGCUCACCUAGGCGACGAUCCCUAGCUGGUCUGAGAGGAUGACCAGCCACACUGGAACUGAGACACGGUCCAGACUCCUACGGGAGGCAGCAGUGGGGAAUAUCGCACAAUGGGCGCAAGCCUGAUGCAGCCAUGCCGCGUGUAUGAAGAAGGCCUUCGGGUUGUAAAGUACUUUUAGCGGGGAGGAAGGCGGUGAGGUUAAUAACCUCGCCGAUUGACGUUACCCACAGAAGAAGCACCGGCUAACUCCGUGCCAGCAGCCGCAGUAA
rnacentral:rRNA from 1 species